rnacentral:rRNA from 1 species
GACGAACGCUGGCGGCGUGCUUAACACAUGCAAGUCGAACGGAAAGGCCCUGCUUUUGUGGGGUGCUCGAGUGGCGAACGGGUGAGUAACACGUGAGUAACCUGCCCUUGACUUUGGGAUAACUUCAGGAAACUGGGGCUAAUACCGGAUAGGAGCUCCUGCUGCAUGGGGGGGGUUGGAAAGUUUCGGCGGUUGGGGAUGGACUCGCGGCUUAUCAGCUUGUUGGUGGGGUAGUGGCUUACCAAGGCUUUGACGGGUAGCCGGCCUGAGAGGGUGACCGGCCACAUUGGGACUGAGAUACGGCCCAGACUCCUACGGGAGGCAGCAGUGGGGAAUAUUGCACAAUGGGCGGAAGCCUGAUGCAGCAACGCCGCGUGCGGGAUGACGGCCUUCGGGUUGUAAACCGCUUUCGCCUGUGACGAAGCGUGAGUGACGGUAAUGGGUAAAGAAGCACCAGCUAACUACGUG